ACUGUUUGAAAAUUACUCAUGGCUUUGCCUGUAGCCCUGGGAGAGAUGUGGUCCCGAGAGCCAGUGAGGCCUCAGUUCUCCCCACACUUGCUGCUGUGGGGAGGUGAGACUCAGAUUCAAAAAUAU